ACUUGCGCUCAGCUCUACGGCACUCACGUCUGACAGCAUGAGUCGUGUCAUUUAACUAGGGCUCAGAUUUAGUUUUAGGCUGCCUGAAUUUUAAUGGAGCCACAGUGUCCAAAACAGUUUGGCAGGUGAAGUGAAACUAUGAACCCAGCUCCUCUGUAUUGCACACAGAAUCAGGAAAUACAGAGUUCUGAUUGAAAGUGACCGAGAACUGAACCGCAGUGGAAGUGUUAAUAAUGCGACAGCGCCGAGCAGCAGCGCGAGGUUUAAAUGUAUCAGGGGCAAGAGCAGCCUCAAAUAAUACAGGCAUAUGGUCAGAAAAAACAGCGUCACAAGUCUCUAAAUUAAAAACGGGACAACCAUAUGAUAAAACAAGAUCAAGUGUGUGUCCUUGUUCUUGUGUAGGUCCAGACACAGACUGUACAAGAUUAAAAGAAUCAAUGAGGCUUAGAAAGCCCUUUGCCAUUGGCUUAUCAGGACAACACACAUGAACAUUAAAAUCCCCAACAAUAAGAACAUGGUCAUAUUUAGGCAUGAUUUCAAAUGUGUUGAAGUUCUUUCCCUUUCCCCCCCAUUUCAGGGGUUUUAUUUGUCCCAUAAUAGGUUGUAGUGUUAUGGUACAUACAGAUUUCAAGCUGUUGCCGUAUUUUGAUACUUAACUUUGAAUUUAUCAUAUAAAUAUUGCACUGAUGGUCAUUGCAUCAGAACAUGCAUGCACAGUUGGUCUAAUUUAUAAUCCAGCUUCCUAGAGUCACAAUGAAAAUCAUCCUCUGUGCUUUUGCUGCUUAUUUGCUUUUCUUCAAAUGUGAACUAGCAUUUCUGACUUUUAUCCAUUUAAGUAAACUGAGCACAAAUAAAUGAACAGAGCUAAAUCUCACAAGGGAAACAGCAUUUUAGGGAAAUCUUAUAGUAUAGUAGUAAAAUCUUAACUCAGACUGAUCCACUAUGAUUUAUGUGGAACAUUAGCUUUGUUCAGCAGUUGAGGUUGGACAAGAAAAAUAAAAUUCGUCACCAUUAUCCUUUUGUUGCCCUUCUUACCUUUGCUCUUCUGCUCCUUUCAACUUCAUCUCCCCCUCUGUUGUUCUCCUUUCCUCCUUCUUCUUCCCUUCAUCUUCUCCACCCCCCUCUCUUCAUCUUCAUCCUUCUCUCCAGUCUCUGUCCUCCCCCUCCUUGCUGUCAUCUUCUCCCAGUUCCAGCAGAGGACCCCUCUCCAGACGGGAUUGUCAAACCAUACCUCCAGUACAUCUGGGACCCUCACCGGUAA
rnacentral:lncRNA from 1 species